GUAGGUGGCAAGCGUUGUCCGGAUUUACUGGGCGUAAAGAGCGCGCAGGCGGUCGUUCAAGUCGCGUGUGAAAGCCCCCGGCUCAACUGGGGAGGGUCACGCGAUACUGAUCGACUCGAAGGCAGGAGAGGGAAGUGGAAUUCCCGGUGUAGUGGUGAAAUGCGUAGAUAUCGGGAGGAACACCAGUGGCGAAGGCGACUUCCUGGCCUGUUCUUGACGCUGAGGCGCGAAAGCUAGGGGAGCAAACGGGAUUAGAUACCCCGGUAGUCCUAGCCGUAAACGAUGGACACUAGGUGUUGGUGGUAUCAACCCCGCCAGUGCCGAAGCUAACGCAUUAAGUGUCCCGCCUGGGGAGUACGGCCGCAAGG
rnacentral:rRNA from 1 species